GAGGACACAGGAAGAAGACAGCCAACUACAAACCAAGGAGAGAGGCCUCAGAAGAAAUCAACCCUGUCGACAUCUUGAUCUCAGACUUCUGGCCUCCAGAACUGAUGUGGGAUCUUAGUUCCCUCACCAGGGAUUGAACCCGUGCCCCCUGGAGUGGAAGCAUGGAGCCUUAACCACUGGACCACCAGGGAAGUCCUCCACUUCUGAUUUUCUAUUUAUGAUUCCCUUCAACUUUCCAGAUGUGUGAAUAUGAUAUGAAAGCUCCUAUUUCAAAGCCCCUGUGGACUGAGGCUCCAGCCUCUUGGUCCCCAGGCUCUUCAUUAAGGUCCUUUCCCAUAGACGGACAGACGGAUGGAUGGAUGGAUGGAUGGAUGGAUGGAUGGAGCCAGCAUACAUGACUGCAGUGAUGCCAUCUUCCCAAAGGUCUUUGUCUUUCUGACAGAAAGGGCACCAGAGCUCCCUCGACCCAGAGUGAGGCCAGAAGAAGAAAGCUGGGGGAAAGAUUAAACUCCUGCUAACCCAGGGGUGAGCAAUCAGAAAGCUCAAAUGACCACACAUUGGGGUGACGGUGUGGGGGGAGAGUGCCCAGGGAACCUAUAAUCACUGGAGACUGUUUUCCAACAGCAGUAUCUUGGGCAGGACUCCUCAGCCUCAGCUGUGCAUUAACAUCACGGGGGAAGAGUUUCUUAAAUACCGUUGCUUGGACCAACCCUGGCGAUUCUGAUUUAUUUGGCCAGAAGUUGGACUCGGCUGUAUUGUGUUUGCUCUCUGAGUUUCUUAGGUGAUUGUGUUAGUUGUCUAUUGCUGCAUCACAAAUUACCACAAACACAGGGGCUCAAAACAACACACAUGUUGUCUCAUGGUUUCUGUGGGUCAGGAAUCUGAGCAUGACUCAGCUGGAGCCUCUGCUUCAGUAUCUCUUAUGAGGCAACAGUCAAGGAGUCGACCAGGGCUGGGGUCUCAUCUGAAGGCUCUACUGGGGAAGGAUCCACUCCCAAGCUCCUGUGUCAUUAGCAGGAUCCAGUAUCUUGCAGGUUGUACAACUGAUGGUCUCAGUUCCUUACUGGAGAUUGGUACCAAACCAAACCUGUACUUCUCAUGCUUUAAAAAGCAUAUAAAUCUCCUAGGGACCUUGUUACAAUGUAGAUUCUAACUGGUGCCUGACACUCUGCAUUUCUUACAAAG